GGGCCUCUGUGUGAACAUGUUUUGGGAAAUGUUGUCUCCUGUGUAGUCCCACAGCUACCAAUUAACAGUACUCAUCAGUGAAGGUGGCCUUUAAAAGGAGGACGGUGCCCACGGCCAUCAGAGAUGCCCACUGCCACAUUGGAGGCUGAGUUGCACACGGGCCAGCUAACUUGUCAUCUUUCAUGUGGCCUUCUGGGAUGAAGACACUGAUGCUGCUGUUCCCAUAAUGACCUUCAGUGGAGAACCAGGUCAGUUUCUGAGGCUGACAUGUCCCUGCUUUGGCCUGCUGCCACCCAGGCAAUUAACUUCUGCUGUAAUUCUGGGCCUCUGCCCCUGCACCUUCCCACUCCCGCCCCCUUUCUAAACAACCAUGUUGAACAAGUGACUUACAGGAGGAGGGAAGGGGACUGUCUAGUCUGGAGGCUGAGAGAUGACAAGGGCCUGAGCAGAGAGCUGCGUGUUUUGAAUCACUGGAGUUGCUGUUCUGGGAGCAGAUGUGAGGCCGUUGCAGAGAAUACUCCAGGCAAACCCUGAGGUUCAGCAACAACCUGGGUUAAUCAGAAGCUGCUGACCCUGGGAAGACGGUCUCAGAGGAGUGAGCCUAUUUUAAGCUGGUGAAAUGAUUAGUGAUACUAAUCACAUGUCUUCAGCCCAGACCCUCUGGCCUACUUUACUGCUCCCAACUUUCUCUGGGCCUGCACACUUACCUCAGUCCUCUUCCCUCCUUCUCUUCUCUAAGCAAUGAGUUACCCUCAGCUUCCUUUCCUAUUUCUGAGGGACAGGAAGUGAUGAAAGUCUCCAGUGUCUCUAGUCUGCACUUCUAGUAACCCUUAAUAAUUUCAAAUGACCACAAGAGGCCUUAGGACUAAAUUAUUUAGACUACAAGCUGACCCUAGAGUGUUCUACACAGUGAUAUUGGCUGGUGCAAAAAGGGAGGUUUUUGGAGGCUUCUGUGCCCAGGACUCUCUUAGGACCAUACAGUCGAGUAAAGGGUGUGAGGGAGGAAUGUUUGUUGUGGGCAGGAGCUGAAGGCAGAAAUCCUACCCAGAGAAGGAGCCUACUGUUGGAUGGGUGUCACAGUUUCCUUGGGAUAGUGUGGCCUGCUGAGAGGUCAAGGCUAGAGCCUUAUUCUUGGAGUGAUUAGAAGCAUGUUAUGGUUUGGAUGUGACUCCCAGAGUUCAUGUGUUGGAAAUUUCAGCUGUAAUUAAUAGAGUUUGAGAAAGAAGAAAUGAUGAGGUCCUGAAGGGUCCACCUUCUUGUAUGAAAUGAUGUCACUAUCACAGGGACGUGUUACUUAUCUUGGAAGUGGGUUCUUGAUGGAAGGAGAUCAGCUUGGUUCCUCCUCACUCACAUGUAUGUGCCUGCAUACUUGCACCUGGAGGCACACAUGCCACUUAUGCCCCCAUUGAGUUUCUGUCUGGAGGACUAUAACUGAUUUGUGAAUAGGGAAACUGAGCCACUCUGAGGUAUAGUGAAUCUAAACAGUAGGCAGGUAUUGGCUACAUAACGCAGCUUCAUAACUUGAGUUUUAAACUCUGUACAGUAGGUCUACACUCUCUGGGAGCCAAGUCAUGUAUAACAGGCACAGAUGGCAAAGGUCAAGGGUGUGGUUCUCAGGGAAAUGUUGAAUAUGAAUGGAAGCUCCCAUGUUAUUAUGUUUCACAUACAAAACUUCCACCAUGGGCUCAUGUGUAGCAAACUUGGAUCCCAACUAGUGGCACUCCUUUGGAAAACCCUAGAGACUUUCAUUGGUGUAGCCUCGCAGUAGGCAAUAGGUCACACUGGGGACACAUUCCAGUGGGUUCUUGUUAACCCUUUCUCCUUCUUGUUUGUCUCUCUCUGAUUCUUGACUACUAUCCCUUGGUUAGAACAUCUUGCCUCACCACAGGCUUAAAAACAAUGAUGCUGGUAACCAUAGCUUGAAACCUUGGGAAGUAUGAUCCAAAAUAAGUCUCUUCUUUUAAAAGCUGUUUCUCUUGUGUAUGUGUCAAGGCAAGAAUAUAAAAACAAAACAAAAUCCCAAAACAAUCUCGGCACACUUCUGAUAUAUUCUGUGAUCUUAAGUAAGUCAUAGAACCAUUGUAAGCCUCAGUUGGCUCAUGUACUAAAUGGGGACAAUAACAGUAGAGUCUGGGUUCAUAGGGCCUUUCUAUGAUCCUGUAAGGCAGUGCACAUGAAAUUUUACCACAGUGUCUGGCACAUAGGAUGCCCUUACUUAAGGGUAGCCUUUAUUCUUGUUCUUACAUAUUCCUGUCUUUCCUGACCCAGGAGUCUAGCAGAUGGGACUGGACAACUAGCUCCCUAGGAAAGGUAAAGGUCCUUUGUGUUUCCAGGAACUGUUAGAGUCUAGGUAAUAACUAAUGAAAGGUCUCUUGUCUAAAGAUGCCUUCCCUCUCCAGGUUGUCUGCCCUGGGAUAUAGCUACUCUGGCCUUUGAGAAAGCGAUUCUCUCCUUCCUCCUGUAAUGCUUUAUGAAGAACUCCUGGUGUCCAGAAAAGGCUUAGCCAGAUGAAAUUAGGUCAAGAAUACCAGACCCAUGUCAUUGGAGCAAUCUUAGGCCCAUAGAAUGUGAAGUGGUUUGUUUUCCUUUUAAUUUUGAAUAUCAACAAAAGAUGUACACACACACACACACACACACACACACACACACACACACACACACACACACA